UCCGAGUUGACCCCGGCAGUCUCCUAUGAGUUCCCACCAUUACGUGCUGGCAACAUAGAACGAGGGUUGCGCUCGUUGCGGGACUUAACCCAACAUCUCACGACACGAGCUGACGACAACCAUGCACCACCUGUAUACCGACCUUGCGGGGCCUACAUUUCUGCAGGUUUCCAGUACAUGUCAAGCCUUGGUAAGGUUCUUCGCGUUGCAUCGAAUUAAUCCGCAUGCUCCGCCGCUUGUGCGGGCCCCCGUCAAUUCCUUUGAGUUUUAACCUUGCGGCCGUACUCCCCAGGCGGGGUGCUUAAUGCGUUGGCUACGACACCGAAGGGCAAGCCCCCCGACAUCUAGCACCCAUCGUUUACGGCGUGGACUAC
rnacentral:misc_RNA from 1 species